AAACCAUGCAUCGGACAUUUGCACAACAUAUCUUUAAAUUGCUCCCAAGCUUCAUAAAGAUUCUUUUCCUCCAUUUGCUUGAAUGGUGUGAGAUCAUUCCUCAAUUU